GGUGUGUUGCUGUACAAUAAACAUCUGUGAAAGGAACUGGAGUCUCGCAUCCGACCCACGGGCAGCCUAGACGGUGCCGACAGAGACUGUUUCACACGCAUUUCCAUAUGAUGAACCCAGAGGCCAUCUUGACACCAAAAGAGAACACAGAAACAAAG